AUACCCUCGGAGAUUGUCGUGCACUGUCGUCUCUCGGGCACUGACGGCCCAAAAAGUAGCGUCACACGCUCCUGAAGCGACCCCAGGUCAGGCGGGACUACCCGCUGAGUUUAAGCAUAUCAAUAAGCGGAGGAAAAGAAACUUACCA
rnacentral:rRNA from 1 species